CUAUGGAGAGGCCUAACAAGUUCAUUUGACAUUGUUGGCCCUUAUUUCACCUCGUCUGGCACUAUCACUAGCAAAUUUUUGUACUCAUGUGUCUUGGAAACGAUAAAGCUCUUUCAACUCCAUUCCUUGAGAACUAUGAUAAUCAUUUGUGACGGAGCUUCAAGUAAUGUAACCAUGAUAAAAGCAACUCAUGGUUAUAUUAGGACAUAACCAAUAUUUAAGAGAAAAGGAGGAUCCGUAUGAAGUUUUUCCUCAUAUGUAGAAUCCCUUUGACCCUCAAAAUCUAAUAUACUGGCUAAUAUGUCCAAUACAUCAAAUGGAGGUGCCAAGACAUUCACUUUAAAUAAAUCAGUCUCAGUUUGAUUGGAGUUCAAUUACAUGUAUGUACAAUGAUGAAUGUGAACGAGUAAAGCAGGGUAUGAGAAGAAUGGUUCCCAAAAUGAAGGAAGUAUAU